rnacentral:rRNA from 2 species
CCAACAGGGAUUGCCCUAGUAACGGCGAGUGAAGCGGCAACAGCUCAAAUUUGAAAUCUGGCUCUUUCAGAGUCCGAGUUGUAAUUUGCAGAGGGCGCUUUGGCUUUGGCAGCGGUCCAAGUUCCUUGGAACAGGACGUCACAGAGGGUGAGAAUCCCGUACGUGGUCGCUAGCUAUUGCCGUGUAAAGCCCCUUCGACGAGUCGAGUUGUUUGGGAAUGCAGCUCUAAAUGGGAGGUAAAUUUCUUCUAAAGCUAAAUAUUGGCCAGAGACCGAUAGCGCACAAGUAGAGUGAUCGAAAGAUGAAAAGCACUUUGGAAAGAGAGUCAAACAGCACGUGAAAUUGUUGAAAGGGAAGCGCUUGCAGCCAGACUUGCUUGCAGUUGCUCAUCCGGGCUUUUGCCCGGUGCACUCUUCUGCAGGCAGGCCAGCAUCAGUUUGGGCGGUGGGAUAAAGGUCUCUGUCACGUACCUCUCUUCGGGGAGGCCUUAUAGGGGAGACGACAUACCACCAGCCUGGACUGAGGUCCGCGCAUCUGCUAGGAUGCUGGCGUAAUGGCUGUAAGCGGCCCGUCUUGAAACACGGACCAAGGAGUCUAACAUCUAUGCGAGUGUUUGGGUGUCAAGCCCGAGCGCGUAAUGAAAGUGAACGGAGGUGGGAACCCGCAAGGGCGCACCAUCGACCGAUCCUGAAGUUUACGGAAGGAUUUGAGUAAGAGCAUGGCUGUUGGGACCCGAAAGAUGGUGAACUAUGCUUGAAUAGGGUGAAGCCAGAGGAAACUCUGGUGGAGGCUCGCAGCGGUUCUGACGUGCAAAUCGAUCGUCAAAUUUGGGCAUAGGGGCGAAAGACU